rnacentral:rRNA from 1 species
CAGCCGCCACGGUAAUACGGAGGGAGCUAGCGUUGUUCGGAAUUACUGGGCGUAAAGCGCACGUAGGCGGCUUUGUAAGUUAGAGGUGAAAGCCUGGAGCUUAGCUCCAGAACUGCCUUUAAGGCUGCAUCGCUUGAAUCCAGGAGAGGUGAGUGGAAUUCCGAGUGUAGAGGUGAAAUUCGUAGAUAUUCGGAAGAACACCAGUGGCGAAGGCGGCUCACUGGACUGGUAUUGACGCUGAGGUGCGAAAGCGUGGGGAGCAAACAGGAUUAGAUACCCCGGUAGUCCCUGUCUCUUAUAC